rnacentral:rRNA from 1 species
GACGAACGCUGGCGGCGUGCCUAAUACAUGCAAGUAGAACGCUGAAGGAGGAGCUUGCUCUUCUGGAUGAGUUGCGAACGGGUGAGUAACGCGUAGGUAACCUGCCUGGUAGCGGGGGAUAACUAUUGGAAACGAUAGCUAAUACCGCAUAAGAGUAGAUGUUGCAUGACAUUUGCUUAAAAGGUGCAAUUGCAUCACUACCAGAUGGACCUGCGUUGUAUUAGCUAGUUGGUGGGGUAACGGCUCACCAAGGCGACGAUACAUAGCCGACCUGAGAGGGUGAUCGGCCACACUGGGACUGAGACACGGCCCAGACGCCUACGGGAGGCAGCAGUAGGGAAUCUUCGGCAAUGGACGGAAGUCUGACCGAGCAACGCCGCGUGAGUGAAGAAGGGUUUCGGAUCGUAAAGCUCUGUUGUAAGAGAAGAACGAGUGUGAGAGUGGAAAGUUCACACUGUGACGGUAUCUUACCAGAAAGGGACGGCUAACUACGUG